rnacentral:rRNA from 1 species
GGUYUUUUGUGUAUAAUAGAAGAUUUGGCCUGCCCAAUGAUUAAUUAAAUGGCCGCGGUAUAUUGACCGUGCGAAGGUAGCGUAAUCAUUAGUCUUUUAAUUAGAGACUUGUAUGAAGGGUCUGACGAGAUGAGAACUGUCUCUUUCCUAUUCAUAGAAUUUUAACUUUGAGUGAAAAUGCUUAAAUUUUUAUAAAAGACGAGAAGACCCUAUAGAGUUUUAUAAUUUGUUGUUUUGAAAUUUUUGGUCUUUUAUUUUUGGAAUUAAUAGAAUUAUUUUGUUGGGGUGACAAGAAAAUUUAAUUAACUUUUCUUUGUUUUUAUAUUGAUUGAUAUACGGAUGAUCCACAAUUUGUGAUUGAGAGAUUAAAUUACCUUAGGGAUAACAGCGUUAUCUUCUCUGAGAGCUCAAAUCGAAGAGGGGGUUUGCGACCUCGAUGUUGGAUUAAAAUAAUGGUGUGGUGUAGCAGUCACAUUUAUAGGUCUGUUCGACCUUUAAAUUUUUACCUUUAAAUUUUUUGGUGUAGCAGUCACAUUUAUAGGUCUGUUCGACCUUUAAAUUUUUACCUUUAAAUUUUU